AGUGAACGCUGGCGGUAGGCCUAACACAUGCAAGUCGAACGGCAGCACAGUAAUAGCUUGCUCUUACGGGUGGCGAGUGGCGGACGGGUGGGGAAUACAUCGGACUCUACUUUUUCGUGGGGGAUAACGUAGGGAAACUUACGCUAAUACCGCAUACGACCUACGGGUGAAAGCAGGGGAUCUUCGGACCUUGCGCGAUUGCAUGAGCCGAUGUCGGAUUAGCUAGUUGGCGGGGUAAAGGCCCACCAAGGCGACGAUCCGUAGCUGGUCUGAGAGGAUGAUCAGCCACACUGGAACUGAGACACGGUCCAGACUCCUACGGGAGGCAGCAGUGGGGAAUAUUGGACAAUGGGCGCAAGCCUGAUCCAGCCAUACCGCGUGGGUGAAGAAGGCCUUCGGGUUGUAAAGCCCUUUUGUUGGGAAAGAAAAGCAGCAGGUUAAUACCCCGCUGUUCUGACGGUACCCAAAGAAUAAGCACCGGCUAACUUCGUG
rnacentral:rRNA from 1 species